AGAGUUUGAUCAUGGCUCAGAACAAACGCUGGCGGCGUGUCUUAAGCAUGCAAGUCGAGCGGCAAGGCGGGGCGACCCGCCCUAGAGCGGCGGACUGGUGAGUAACGCGUGGGUAAUCUACCUUGGGCAUGGGGAUAGCCAUUAGAAAUAGUGGGUAAUACCGAAUACGCUCGCGGGGGGAAGGGUCCUGUGAGGAAAGGGUGCUACGGCACCGGCCUGAGAUGAGCUCGCGUCCCAUUAGCUAGUUGGUGAGGUAAGGGCCCACCAAGGCGAUGAUGGGUAGCCGGCCUGAGAGGGUGUACGGCCACACCGGGACUGAGAUACGGCCCAGACUCCUACGGGAGGCAGCAGCUAAGAAUAUUCCGCAAUGGACGAAAGUCUGACGGAGCGACGCCGCGUGGAUGAAGAAGGCCGAAAGGUUGUAAAGUUCUUUUGCGAGGGAAGAAUAACCGCAGGAGGGAAUGCCUGUGGGAUGACAUGAACUUGCGAAUAAGCCCCGGCCAACUACGUGCCAGCAGCCGCGGUAACACGUAGGGGGCGAGCGUUGUUCGGAAUUACUGGGCGUAAAGGGCAUGUAGGCGGUCUGGUAAGCCUGGCGUGAAAGACCACAGCUUAACUGUGGGGUUGCGUUGGGAACUGCUGGGCUUGAGUGACGGAGAGGGAGCUGGAAUUCCUGGUGUAGGGGUGAAAUCUGUAGAUAUCAGGAAGAACACCGAUGGCGAAGGCAAGCUCCUGGCCGAUGACUGACGCUGAGGUGCGAAAGUGUGGGGAUCAAACAGGAUUAGAUACCCUGCUAGUCCACACGGUAAACGAUGUGCACUAGGUGCUGGGGCGGUAGCCUCGGUGCCGGAGCGAACGUGGUAAGUGCACCGCCUGGGGAGUAUGCUCGCAAGGGUGAAACUUAAAUGAAUUGACGG
rnacentral:rRNA from 1 species